rnacentral:rRNA from 1 species
UAGUCCACGCCGUAAACGAUGAGUACUAGUUGUCGGGGGUAUUGACCCCUCCGGUGACAAAGCUAACGCAUUAAGUACUCCGCCUGGGGAUUACGGUCGCAAGACUAAAACUCAAAGGAAUUGACGGGGGCCCGCACAAGCGGUGGAUCAUGUGGUUUAAUUCGAAGCUACGCGCAGAACCUUACCUGGGCUUGAAAUCCUGAGAAUCCUCUAGAGAUAGAGGAGUGCCCUUCGGGGAAUUCAGUGACAGGCGCUGCAUGGCUGUCGUCAGCUCGUGUUGUGAAAUGUUGGGUUAAGUCUCGCAACGAGCGCAACCCUUGUCCUUAGUUGCCAGCAUUAAGUUGGGCACUCUAGGGANACUGCCUGGGUUAACCAGGAGGAAGGUGGGGAUGACGUCAAGUCCUCAUGGCCCUUAU